rnacentral:rRNA from 1 species
GUGAGGAAUUUUCCGCAAUGGGCGAAAGCCUGACGGAGCAAUGCCGCGUGAAGGAUGAAGGCCUAUGGGUUGUAAACUUCUUUUCUCAGAAAAGAAUUAUGACGGUAUCUGAGGAAUAAGCAUCGGCUAACUCUGUGCCAGCAGCCGCGGUAAGACAGAGGAUGCAAGCGUUAUCCGGAAUGAUUGGGCGUAAAGCGUCUGUAGGUUGUUUAAAAAGUAUUCUGUCAAAGAUUAGGGCUUAACCCUAGAUAGGCAGAAUAAACUUUUAAGCUAGAGUUUGGUAGGGGAAGAGGGAAUUCCCGGUGGAGCGGUGAAAUGCGUAGAUAUCGGGAGGAACACCAAAGGCGAAGGCACUCUGCUGGGCCAAUACUAACACUGAGAGACGAAAGCGAGGGGAGCAAAUGGGAUUAGAUACCCGUGUAGUCC